rnacentral:lncRNA from 1 species
CCCUGCCCCAUAAAAAUAUAUGAACUGAAGCAAUCUCUACGUAUACUCCACGGUCUCUUCUCCCAUGGAGUCCAUCGUCUCUAGCUAUGCCAAUAGAAAAAAGGUCAUUGUCUCUCUCAAGCUGAAGCAACGAUGCAGACAGGUGUUUUCCAGCCAUACACACGUACAUGACGAUUGCCGAUUGGUACUGCGAGGCGAUGAAAGUAUAUGGCCGAAUUCGUUGACAUAUAGAAGCGCAGGCGGCUGGAUCGAUUUCAUAGGGAGACACGGGUACAUGAAGCUAAUCCGUUCGAUCCGCUCAGCAAAAUACGCGCACAUGAGGACUCAAUUUAAUGCGCCAUAGAUUCAGGCGUUCGAUAGUUUUAGUCAGAAAUAUAUUCGCAUUACCUCUUCUGAUUUAUUUGCAGUUUUCGUCAGAAAUAUAUUUGCAUUGCUUCUUCUGAUUUAUUUGCAACACUGACUCAGCUGUACGUACAAGAUGAAAGAGGCCUCCCUACAAGACGAUCUCACCCGCAGCAGGAAGAGAUAGAACUGGCGAGUGGUGACAAACUAAUGUUGUGUGAUGCUGCGUUCCAGCGACAUCAAUGGUUGCACAAGAUAAGAUGCAAGUCACGCCAUGCAUGACAUAUGUCCUGUGUCAUCUACAUGCUUUAAGAAAAAUAAGAUCCAUGUUCUCUUUAUUGCUUAAGUGUAUGUCCGUUGAGAUGAUUCCGCUUUGACCUUUCUUCUAACCCCAACUUAUGGAGAAGCAAUUUCAUUGAGCCUUUGGUAGAAAAG